CCUACGGGCGGCAGCAGUGGGGAAUAUUGCACAAUGGGCGCAAGCCUGAUGCAGCCAUGCCGCGUGUGUGAAGAAGGCCUUCGGGUUGUAAAGCACUUUCAGCGGGGAGGAAGGCGGUGAGGUUAAUAACCUCAUCGAUUGACGUUACCCGCAGAAGAAGCACCGGCUAACUCCGUGCCAGCAGCCGCGGUAAUACGGAGGGUGCAAGCGUUAAUCAGAAUUACUGGGCGUAAAGCGCACGCAGGCGGUCUGUCAAGUCGGAUGUGAAAUCCCCGGGCUCAACCUGGGAACUGCAUUCGAAACUGGCAGGCUAGAGUCUUGUAGAGGGGGGUAGAAUUCCAGGUGUAGCGGUGAAAUGCGUAGAGAUCUGGAGGAAUACCGGUGGCGAAGGCGGCCCCCUGGACAAAGACUGACGCUCAGGUGCGAAAGCGUGGGGAGCAAACAGGAUUAGAUACCCGGGUAGUC
rnacentral:rRNA from 1 species